rnacentral:rRNA from 1 species
UACGUAGGGUCCGAGCGUUGUCCGGAAUUAUUGGGCGUAAAGGGCUCGUAGGCGGUUUGUCGCGUCGGGAGUGAAAACCAGAGGCUUAACUUCUGGCUUGCUUUCGAUACGGGCAGACUUGAGGCAUGCAGGGGAGAACGGAAUUCCUGGUGUAGCGGUGAAAUGCGCAGAUAUCAGGAGGAACACCGGUGGCGAAGGCGGUUCUCUGUGCAUGUUCUGACGCUGAGGAGCGAAAGCGUGGGGAGCGAACAGG